CAUACAGCUCAUUAACACGUGGCUAACCUGCCCUUGGGACAAGAACACCCCCGGGAAACUGGGGCUAAUUCUCGAUAGGUGAAGAACACUGGAAUGUGUCUUCGCCUAAAGGCCGCCGGAUCAUGCUUUCGGCGGUGCCCAAGGAUGGGGCCGCGACCGAUCAGGUUGUUGGUGAGGUAAUGGCCCACCAAGCCUAUAACCGGUGCGGGCCGUGAGAGCGGGAGCCCGGAGAUGGGCACUGAGACAAGGGCCCAGGUCCUACGGGGCGCAGCAGUCGCGAAACCUUUGCAAUACACGCAAGUGUGACAGGGUCAUCCCGAGUGCCGACCGCUGAGGUUGGCUUUUACCCAGUCUAAAAAGCUGGGGGAAUAAGGAGAGGGCAAGUCUGGUGUCAGCCGCCGCGGUAAUACCAGCUCUCCGAGUGGUGUGGACGUUUAUUGGGCCUAAAGCAUCCGUAGCUGGCUGGUCAAGUCCCCUGUUAAAUCCACCGAUUUAAUCGUUGGUGUGCGGGGGAUACUGUUCGGCUAGGGGACGAGAGAGGCAUACGGUAUUCCCGGGGUAUGGGUGAAAACCUAAUAUCCCGAGAAGACCACAAGUGGCGAAGGCUGUCUGCUAGAACCGCGCCCGACGGUGAGGGAUGAAAGCUGGGGGGAACGAACC
rnacentral:rRNA from 1 species